rnacentral:tRNA from 1 species
CCGGUGGUAGUUUAAUUUAAACCGCGGGCCUGUGGAGCCCGAAAUCUACAGCGUAGUCACCGGC